rnacentral:tRNA from 1 species
UAGCUCAGUGGGGGAGCACCUGUCUAGUAAGCAGGAGUCCUGAGUUCAAAUCCCAG